rnacentral:lncRNA from 1 species
GUGUCCCUGGAGAAUCACGGAGCGAUACAGACAAUUCCAGCAUCUCACUUCUACCUCAGGAAGCAAAAAAGAGCUACAUUUAAGAUGGAAAAGAUAUUAAAACCUAGAAAGCUCUUCCACUGACCGGGGACACCACAGGACCUCCUUUUUUUUUGUACAGAUGCAGUGCCCUUCCUCUUCCUCAGUGCUGUUUCCUACUGGACGUCUGCUGGGAUGAGCUGGUUGGUGGCCAUGGAGCUGUCCAGAACUGAACAUCAGUCAACUGGGAGAAUAGCACAGGUUGCACCAAUUGAUGUAAUAUACUUGUAAAAUUCUGUGUACACAGAA